rnacentral:rRNA from 1 species
UGGGGAAUAUUGGACAAUGGGCGAAAGCCUGACCCAGCAACGCCGCGUGAAGGAUGAAGUAUUUCGGUAUGUAAACUUCGAAAGAAUAGGAAGAAUAAAUGACGGUACUAUUUAUAAGGUCCGGCUAACUACGUGCCAGCAGCCGCGGUAAUACGUAGGGACCAAGCGUUGUUCGGAUUUACUGGGCGUAAAGGGCGCGUAGGCGGCAUGACAAGUCACUUGUGAAAUCUCUGGGCUUAACCCAGAACGGCCAGGUGAUACUGUCGCGCUAGAGUGCAGAAGGGGCAAUCGGAAUUCUUGGUGUAGCGGUGAAAUGCGCAGAUAUCAAGAGGAACGCCUGAGGUGAAGACGGGUUGCUGGGCUGACACUGACGCUGAGGCGCGAAAGCCAGGGGAGCAAACGGGAUUAGAUACCCUAGUAGUCCCUGAGCGGGCUGGCAAGGCGCAU